rnacentral:rRNA from 1 species
ACACGACUACAUUAGAUACCCUGUAGUCCUAGCCGUAAACGAUACUCGCUAGGUGUCGGCCACGGUGCGACCGUUGUCGGUGCCGUAGGGAAGCCGUGAAGCGAGCCACCUGGGAAGUACGGCCGCAAGGCUGAAACUUAAAGGAAUUGGCGGGGGAGCACAACAACGGGUGGAGCUUGCGGUUUAAUUGGAUUCAACGCCGGAAAUCUUACCGGGACCGACAGCAACAUGAAGGCCAAGCUGAAGACUUUGCCGGAUUAGCUG